AUUGAACGCUGGCGGCAUGCCUUACACAUGCAAGUCGAACGGCAGCACGGGUGCUUGCGCCUGGUGGCGAGUGGCGAACGGGUGAGUAAUACAUCGGAACAUGUCCUGUAGUGGGGGAUAGCCCGGCGAAAGCCGGAUUAAUACCGCAUACGAUCUACGGAUGAAAGCGGGGGACCUUCGGGCCUCGCGCUAUAGGGUUGGCCGAUGGCUGAUUAGCUAGUUGGUGGGGUAAAGGCCUACCAAGGCGACGAUCAGUAGCUGGUCUGAGAGGACGACCAGCCACACUGGGACUGAGACACGGCCCAGACUCCUACGGGAGGCAGCAGUGGGGAAUUUUGGACAAUGGGCGAAAGCCUGAUCCAGCAAUGCCGCGUGUGUGAAGAAGGCCUUCGGGUUGUAAAGCACUUUUGUCCGGAAAGAAAUCCUUGGCCCUAAUACGGUCGGGGGAUGACGGUACCGGAAGAAUAAGCACCGGCUAACUACGUG
rnacentral:rRNA from 1 species